rnacentral:tRNA from 1 species
AGUUUUGUGGUGUAAGUGGCACACCAGAUUGCAAACCUGGCGGUGUAGGUUAACCCCUGCCGGAACUU